rnacentral:tRNA from 2 species
GCGGGAAUAGCUCAGUGGUAGAGCGCCACCUUGCCAAGGUGGAUGUCGCGGGUCCAACUCCCGUUUCCCGCUCGA